rnacentral:rRNA from 1 species
UACGGAGGGGGCGAGCGUUAUUCGGAAUUAUUGGGCGUAAAGGGCGCGUAGGCGGGUCUUUAAGUCAGGGGUGAAAUCCUGGAGCUCAACUCCAGAACUGCCUUUGAUACUGAAGAUCUUGAGUUCGGGAGAGGUGAGUGGAACUGCGAGUGUAGAGGUGAAAUUCGUAGAUAUUCGCAAGAACACCAGUGGCGAAGGCGGCUCACUGGCCCGAUACUGACGCUGAGGCACGAAAGCGUGGGGAGCAAACAGG